CCAAGGUAUGGCCAAGCAUGGCCAUGGGAGAUUUGAUCAAGAAAAAUUAUUUCUUUCAAGCUUUUAUACUAAGUGGAAGGUUCUCUACAACGUAGAGUAUUCGUUGGAACAAGUGAAUCAUUCGUUUCGCAAAAAUGAGGUUCUAGCCGGGAAAAGGAACUAGUGCUAAGAUUAACAAGUUGGACGAAUAAGCGUAGCUAGUAAGGCGCGGCGCAGGUACACCCAGAUGAGCUGAGGCCCUAAUAGAAGAUGUUCCAGCGAAGUUGGCGAGCUCCAGUUAGCCCGGGAGUGUAGCCGAGUCAGUGUAUAUGUGCCAUGGUUUCCGAUUGCAGUUAGAGACUUUGCAGACAGAGUCGUGGGUAUAGAGCGUCAGCUUUGUAGACGGCUUCGCCUGUCAAUAUGUUAUUACGUUUCAUGUCACGCGUUCCAUAUGAUGAUACACUCUCCAAAAAAAAAAAAAUU